CACGGAGUUAGCCGAUCCUUAUUCUUACGGUACCGUCAAGCUGAUUCACGAAUCAGUGUUUCUUCCCGUACAAAAGCAGUUUACAAUCCAUAGGACCGUCAUCCUGCACGCGGCAUGGCUGGUUCAGGCUUGCGCCCAUUGACCAAUAUUCCUCACUGCUGCCUCCCGUAGGAGUCUGGUCCGUGUCUCAGUACCAGUGUGGGGGAUCUCCCUCUCAGGACCCCUACCCAUCGUCGCCUUGGUAAGCCGUUACCUUACCAACUAGCUAAUGGGACGCAUGCUCAUCUUUCACCGUUGUGACUUUAAUCAUAUCCCGAUGCCGGGUUAUGAUGCUAUGAGGCAUUAAUCCAAAUUUCUCUGGGCUAUUCCUCUGUGAAAGGCAGAUUGCAUACGCGUUACGCACCCGUGCGCCGGUCUCAAGGCCCGAAAGCCUCUACCCCUCGACUUGCAUGUGUUAAGCCUGCCGCUAGCGUUCAUCCUGAGCCAGGA
rnacentral:rRNA from 1 species